rnacentral:rRNA from 2 species
UACGUAGGGUGCGAGCGUUAAUCGGAAUUACUGGGCGUAAAGCGUGCGCAGGCGGUUUUGUAAGACAGGCGUGAAAUCCCCGGGCUCAACCUGGGAAUUGCGCUUGUGACUGCAAGGCUAGAGUGCGUCAGAGGGGGGUAGAAUUCCACGUGUAGCAGUGAAAUGCGUAGAGAUGUGGAGGAAUACCGAUGGCGAAGGCAGCCCCCUGGGACGUGACUGACGCUCAUGCACGAAAGCGUGGGGAGCAAACAGG